rnacentral:piRNA from 1 species
UAAUGAACUUAAAAUUCUGGCUAGCUGGG